rnacentral:lncRNA from 1 species
CGCAGCAAGGGCCAGACUCUGCGCUAGCAGGCGCUGCGCGCCAACCGGCCGGCACCUGUCGCAGAAGGUGCAACCGAUCGCACUGUCGCGCAGAAGCUCCUCAAUGGCCAGCGCCAGCUGCAGCCCCGGCCGCCCACUCGCCUCAUCUGAGCCUGGGCAAAUCUGGAUUGGGAAAGUUGACAUUAAUCAACUCAUUAUUCCUCACAGAUUUGUAUUCUCCAGAGUAUCCAGGUCCUUCUCAGAGAAUUAAAAAGCCUGUACAGGUCUAGAUAUUGGUAUUUUUAAUUGAUGAUAAGCUGGAAUAAUAUUAAUACACACAAAGCACGUGUUGUAACUUUCAUUAUGCUUCCUUAGAGCGCUGCUCUAAGCUGUUGAUGAAAAAUAUUGUUGGUGAGCUCUGCUUAGGUAAUAUAUAGGACAUGAGCAGAGAGGAGGCACGUGAACAGUUCUGGCCUGGAGUAGGCUUCAUUGAGGCUGUGAUGCUUUUAGCUGGAUUUGAAGAAGUGGUAGUGAUCAUCCCAGUGCACAGGAUAGGUGGACAGUCUAUGUAUUCUGAGCAGUAACUCAUAUAUCUCAUACUGCAAGACCCCAAAGGAGUAAUUUUGUGAACUCUGUUCACGGAAAGGGCCUGGGAGCUGCAACACCUCAACAGCAACAAGCACACCUGCUACCUAGAACUUGGUUUCUAAAAACCAUCCUCCUCUAAAAGGAAACAGAGCUCUUUGAAGAAACGGUGAGACAGUCAACAAACCUCUAACCACCGACCUUUUCUCCUCUGCCCUCCACUCACACUCUGCUCCAUCACCCUCAGCCACACAGCUGACGCUGUAGAGAUUCACUGACAUCCAGUCUGAUGGACACUGUUUCUCCAGCCGAAACUGCUCAUGAGAACAUGUGCAGUGAAGUGCUCCAGAGGCCCCAGCAUGCUACAUUACAGAAGACUGAACUCAGGAGAGAUGAGGAAUAAUCCCCUCCAUCACACCAGACACCAGGAGGGUGUGCCAAGGUAUUCUAAUAAUACUGCGUGACAUUACGGACAACUUAGCCUAAAUUAUGGAAAAUCAAAUUAUUUAGUAGAACUGCAAGACAAUCCUCUCAGUUGUUGUAAGGUAACUUUGCUGAACUUGUGAAGAAUGGUGUGCAAGGUCCAGAGCGACUGCAGGAGAGGGAAGGUGGGAUUCCCACAGAGCAGGAGCACAGAUAAGCCAAGCAAGGCCCUGCUUGGAAGGCAGCAAUCAACAGAGAUGCACAGACCUGUGAGGGUGCCGGGACAGCCAUGCAACAAUGCAGCCCUUUUGCUUCCUGAGCUCACCAGUUCCCUCGCUCCACCUCUGAGAGGUGGUUUGGAGAAACACAGCCCUUCUCAAGAGGGCUGCAAGCUACUUAAGUCCUGAAAAUUUCCACAAGGCUGAGUCAAAUCUGCGUUUCAUCAUCUAUAAGAAAGGUACCUAUCGAGAACACCCUGCUGGCCAGUGUGUAAAUAUCUAAAGGAGGACUCAGAAAACACCGGGGAAGUCCAGCCUGCACGUGGUGGCUGGGCUUCAGUGAAGCAUGCAGCACAACAGGAGUUAGCAGACCACAAAGAGCAUGUCUGGACCUAGAACCACAGCAUGUAACCUCGGAAGCAGUGAGACACCAGCCAGCAUGGACAAGCAGCAGGCACUUGCUCUAUACC